rnacentral:lncRNA from 1 species
AAGGAAAGCAGGCUGUUGCAUUUCAGUUGGAAAAGCCCGCGUGCCCGUAAGUCAGUUCCAGAGCCUUCACUCCAAAUGACCUCCUGGAACUGGCCCGAGUGUUCGAGUUGCUCCAUACCUUGAGGAACCGAACAUCCAACACCUGGGCCCUUUGGCUCUCCGGAACCGCAGCAGAGCAAACAGGAGCUUCUAUUCUCUCUUCCAUCUCCGCUUCUCCUUGUGUAACUUGCCGUGUUCUACAGGACAAAGCGAUCUCCUUGACGAGCGCCUGCCUGGCUGAGUGUUUUCAAAGCAGUUCGGGGAAUUCUUUCAAAAGCGCGCUCCCUCCUUCUCCAUUUGCAAUUCAUCAGCGCGCAGCCCCUGAAACGAGGCUAAUUAACCCAUCUCCCUGUCGCACCUGAGCCCACACAGAGCCGCGGUCCUGCCCGCGAAGGAGGGGGCCGACGAGGAGCUCGGCACGACGCCUCUGUGGGGGAGCUGUUCGCUCGGGUGCGCUCUUUUCUUCCAGGUCUCUGGCUCAUCGGGACGCAGAUGAAGGAUCUCACGGAAGGGAACGUCUCAAUCUUGCGCUGACCCUGGGCCUGCAUGACGAAGGAGAUCUGGGCAGUCACGCAGGACAGGACAGUGCGCAGGUCGCCACCCCAGCUGGGAACUGCGAUGGACGCCGAGCCCGAGGAGAAACAGACACAAUCCUGACUAAAAACGGCACACGUUCUGCCAAGAUACUGCUGUCCUCAGCUGAAGUCCAAGGACACAGGGAAUAGAAUUGUGGUUCUAUUUUCAGCAGAACUCCUGGAAUGAAUCGUAAUAUACAGGCUAACAACAACACCCCCGUCUCCCCCAGACAAAGACGG